rnacentral:misc_RNA from 1 species
AUGUAUCGUUGUCAUGCCUAUACGGUCCUAUGAAGUCUUCACUCGGUGUUUCCGCGCUGGAUAAGGGAUAAUUCCCGUGAAACAGUUGCGGUUCAACGUGUGGUGGCGUGUCGUGGUGAACCUGAUGGCAUGUGAGUGGUGCUUGGGUCGUCCGGGUCGGUAGGCUCCUUGCUCGGGCAACGAACUAUCGCCGCACACCCCUCUUCAGUCUUAAGCGUCAAGCGCCGGAACGGGCCUUGUGCGCCGGAAAAUAUCGUGGUUCCUGUGUUGCCUGCCCAACGAACGGAAUUGUCCCUCAAUUGGUUGCCUCUCUCCAGCUAGCGCCGCUCGUGCGGCGCGGGUGGACCCGAAAAGCGGUCGCUGUGCUCCUUGCUUCUCCUCCGGCGCACGCGUGUACGCGUGCAAGGGGUUGAGCACGGCCCACGACGGCCUCUCGUUCUCCGGGAUGCGGAGCCUUAAAACGGGCGUGGGGUCUCAGGAUCCCAACACUCGCUCGAGCUAAGCGUUCGUCGCUAGACGCGUACGACGGCUGUGAGCGUCCUUGCCCUCCCGUCGGCCCCUCGGGGCCCCCGGGGAGGCGCAUGCGUCACCAGCGUCGCACAUGAAUGC